GAUGAAGAACGUAGCGAAAUGCGAUAAGUAGUGUGAAUUGCAGAAUUCAGUGAAUCAUCGAAUCUUUGAACGCACAUUGCGCCCCUUGGUAUCCCGAGGGGCAUGCCUGUUCGAGCGUCAUUUCACCACUCAAGCCUGGCUUGGUGUUGGGCGACGUCCCCUUUAGGGACGCGCCUUAAAACGCUCGGCGGCGUGGCACCGGCUUUAAGCGUAGCAGAAUCUUUCGCUUUGGAAGUCGGGGCCCCGCCUGCCGGAAUACCUACUCGUAAGGUUGACCUCGGAUCAGGCAGGGAUACCCGCUGAACUUAAGCAUAUCAUAAGCGGAGGA
rnacentral:misc_RNA from 1 species